GUUGGAGAGUUUCACUCCAAACCCCUGUG
rnacentral:rRNA from 1 species